CCAAAGACAUUUCUUACAUUAAAUGAUUUGUUAAACACAUUCAAAUUAAUUAUAAAUAAAACGUAAUAUAAUGUGGUAACCUCCUACUGUCAUGCUUGAACAUCUCAACACUAAAUUAAAGGCCUGUCUCUUAUAGACGCCUGUCUCAAAUACAAGCCGAACUGCACUGGCUUG